ACGCUCGACACCUACUGGAGGCAGCAGUGAGGAAUAUUGGUCAAUGGGCGCUAGCCUGAACCAGCCAAGUAGCGUGAAGGAUGAAGGCUCUAUGGGUCGUAAACUUCUUUUAUAUAAGAAUAAAGUGCAGUAUGUAUACUGUUUUGUAUGUAUUAUAUGAAUAAGGAUCGGCUAACUCCGUGCCAGUAGCCGCCGGUAAGUACUGAGCGGGCGUGGCGAAGGACG
rnacentral:rRNA from 1 species